rnacentral:lncRNA from 1 species
GGGGAUCCCCGGCGGUGUCGGGGCCGCGGGAGAGCCGUGAUCCCCGGAGAUCCCUAGUGGUGUCAGGGCUGCGGGAAGACCGUGAUCCCUGGGGACGCCAGGAUGAGGGGAGGGUUGGGAUCUCGGGCAAUGUCAAGGCGGGAUCCUGGGGAAUCCCAGCUGGUGCUGGGCAGGGAGAGGGCUGAGAUCAAGGGGGAUCCUUGGGAGAGGGAAGGACCACGGUCCCCGGGACUUCUGGUCACUGCUGGGGCCGCAGGAGAGCCGUGAUCUUGGGGGAUCCUUCGCAGUGCGGGGGUCACAGAAAGGUUGGGAUCUCAGAGGAUCCUGGGCAUUGUCAGGGCUGCGGGAUCCCCAGAGGGAUCCUGGGCUGCGAUCCCAGGAAAUCCUGGGUGGUGUCAGGGCCACAGGAGGGCUGCGAUCCCAGGGGAUCCCAGUAGCUUUGAUGGCAUGGCAAGGCCGUGAUGCUGGCAGGCGAUGGAGAUCCCGAAGGUCACAAGAGCAUGGGCACAUGGUGGAUCUGGCACGGGGACUUCGCCCUGGCUGCGGCCCCGCUCCGGGAGGAGCCAUCGGGGCCAGAUCUGUCCCUGGAAAGGGAUCUGCCGCGAGCUGGGGGUCCAUGGCCCAUGGCUGCAGAGAGGGUCCGUUUGGGGGCAGUGAUUAUGGUCAGGGACCAGCAGUGACAGCUGCUGACACCCCACUGGAUCCUGCUGCCCCACCAGCCACCGGAUCCCAGCCGGCUUCACGGAUCCCCCAAAAAAACACCCGCAAAGGGGAGACAGCGAGGCCAAGCAGGAGCACGGCGACGGUGGGGGGAGAAGGGAGGAGGGGUCAGCCAGGCCGGGAGCAGGGCUACACGAUCCAAGAGGGGACACGGGGAUCCUCGCCACGGAGGGAUCUCGCCUGAUCCCACCCCCUCAUUUCCCUGACCCUCGUCUCUCCGCAGGCUCAACAUCGAUGGCCUCCUGGUGUAUUUCCCGUACGACUACAUCUACCCCGAGCAGUUCUCCUACAUGCUGGAGCUCAAGAGGACCUUGGAUGCCAAGGGUCAUGGCGUGCUGGAGAUGCCUUCGGGGACAGGGAAGACGGUGUCGCUGCUGUCCCUCAUCGUUGCCUAUCAGCGGGCCCGGCCGUUGGACCUCACCAAGCUCAUCUACUGCUCCCGCACGGUGCCGGAGAUCGAGAAGGUGGGUUGCGAGGCUGGGGGUGGGGGCGAGUGGAUCCCAGAGGGGAUCCCCUGGGUGGGGGGCAGGGGAUCUGGUCGCCGCAUGUGAUCGAGGAGCUGCGGAAGCUCAUGGAUUUCUACGAGAAGCAGCUGGGGGAGAAGGUGCCGUUCCUGGGGCUGGCGCUGAGCUCCAGGAAGAACCUGUGCAUCCACCCCGAGGUGGGUGGCAUGGUGGCAGCGCGCGGUGGCAGUGGGGGGAGGGGGGGAGGGGGGAACGGC